rnacentral:rRNA from 1 species
GACGAACGCUGGCGGCGUGCUUAACACAUGCAAGUCGAACGGAAAGGCCCUGCUUUUGUGGGGUGCUCGAGUGGCGAACGGGUGAGUAACACGUGAGUAACCUGCCCUUGACUUUGGGAUAACUUCAGGAAACUGGGGCUAAUACCGGAUAGGAGCUCCUGCUGCAUGGUGGGGGUUGGAAAGUUUCGGCGGUUGGGGAUGGUCUCGCGGCUUAUCAGCUUGUUGGUGGGGUAGUGGCUUACCAAGGCUUUGACGGGUAGCCGGCCUGAGAGGGUGACCGGCCACAUUGGGACUGAGAUACGGACCAGAAUCCUACGGGAGGCAGCAGUGGGGAAUAUUGCACAAUGGGCGGAAGCCUGAUGCAGCAACGCCGCGUGCGGGAUGACGGCCUUCGGGUUGUAAACCGCUUUCGCCUGUGACGAAGCGUGAGUGACGGUAAUGGGUAAAGAAGCACCGGCUAACUACGUG